AUAUGAGCAGGAAAUGCAAUGUUUAUUUUACAUUUUGCACAAUGAUACAGCUUGUUUGCAAAGUGCCUCUGCAGAACACUCAGACAAUGUGCCUGAACUUCAGCUCAGCUGGGUUAAACACGUAGGUGGGGAGAUAGUAGCAGCACUAGUAGUAAGCAAAAAUGAUGUGCAAAAAUUAAGCACAACUGAAGAGCCAGUUAAAGUGCUGCAUCAUAACACAAACAACAUGUAGUGUGGCUGCAUUGCACCCCAGACAUUUUGUAUGUAUUUUUGCACUGAUCUAAACUUUUAUAUAAAGCAAAAUUAAAGAAAUCCUGACUGUUUUA